rnacentral:rRNA from 1 species
GACGAACGCUGGCGGCGUGCUUAACACAUGCAAGUCGAGCGGUAAGGCCCCUUCGGGGGUACACGAGCGGCGAACGGGUGAGUAACACGUGGGUGACCUGCCCUCAGCUCUGGGAUAAGCCUGGGAAACUGGGUCUAAUACCGGAUAUGACUCCAUGACGCAUGUCGUGGGGUGGAAAGCCUUGUGCGGCUGGGGAUGGGCCCGCGGCCUAUCAGCUUGUUGGUGGGGUGAUGGCCUACCAAGGCGACGACGGGUAGCCGGCCUGAGAGGGCGACCGGCCACACUGGGACUGAGACACGGCCCAGACUCCUACGGGAGGCAGCGAGUGGGGAAUCUUGCGCAAUGGGCGAAAGCCUGACGCAGCGACGCCGCGUGAGGGAUGACGGCCUCGG